rnacentral:rRNA from 1 species
GGUUUAAUUCGAUGCUACACGAAGAACCUUACCAGGGUUUGACAUACAAGUAGUAGGGAAAGGAAACUGGACCGACCCUUCAGGGAGCUUGUACAGGUGCUGCAUGGCUGUCGUCAGCUCGUGUCGUGAGAUGUUCGGUUAAGUCCGCUAACGAGCGCAACCCUCGCUGUGUGUUACAAGUGUCACACGGAACUGCCGGUCAUAAACCGGAGGAAGGUGGGGAUGACGUCAAGUCCUCAUGGCCCUUAUGCCCAGGGCUACACACGUGCUACAAUGGGCGGUACAAAGGGUAGCGAUGCCGCGAGGUGAAGCCAAUCCCAAAAAGCCGUCCACAGUUCGGAUUGGAGUCUGCAACUCGACUCCAUGAAGCCGGAAUCGCUAGUAAUCGUGGAUCAGCAUGCCACGGUGAAUACGUUCCCGGGCCUU